rnacentral:lncRNA from 1 species
AUUUCACUUAUGCCUUCUGUGGAGCCAAGAACAGGAGCUUCUUCUAACAGAGAUGCUUGGGUCAUGUCACAGAAGCAGAUGCUUCUACAGAAGGAGCAAAAACUGGAAGUCCUGAAAAUUCACUAACCAUUUGGGUCAAAGGGGAAACACUAUGGAAGACAGUAAUAGUGAUCUUUAAUGAGGAGUCAGUCAUCGAUGCAGUUAAUAACCAGCUUUUUGAAGGGUUAGCAUCAUUGGAAUUUUCUCCUAACAAGCCUGUCAUUGACUGCUGGCACAAAUUAAUCUCUUAAGUCCUGUUCAGAAGUGAUCUAUGGCCUUCUGCACCAUGUUAGGAAGUUAAAGCUCAGCUUGAUGGAUUUGGCCUUUGCAUUUACUUCUUUUAAUCAGCCCUCUAGCCAUCAGGGCAAAGAAAAUUGUGCGGGUAUGUGUAUUUAAAAUACUG